CAGAAAAUGAAGUGCAAAUUGACCCUCACACCAAGCUUGCAUAUCUUUUUCAAUUAUCGGAUCACAAAUUCUCACUCAUUACUAAGUACACUCUAUGUAACAAUAAAGAGUUAGAUGAGAUACUCGAUAAUCUUCAAAAUUCCCAUUUCACCAACCUUCAAAUUCUUCGGGUAAAUAACUGUGGUGGACAAGCUUUGGAGCUUUUUCUUACUAUAUUAUCAAGAAGGUCACACAAACUCCAAGUUAUCAACAUUGAAGAGUGUUCACUAUUUUAUUUUUGUUCUUAUUCUACUCAAAAUGCGAGGGUUGAAGAUGACAAAAUUUUCAUACAGCUAAAGGAACUAAAAUUAAUAAAACUCGACUUACGCGAAAUUUGGCUCAAUGAUAGUCCAACAGUUAUUGACCUUGGAAACCUACAAAUUUUACACAUCAUAGAUGUUUCCCUUCUCUAUCAAAUAUUUUAUGGUUAUCCAGCCUGGAAGCUUCACCAACUAAAGGAAUUAAUUAUAGAAAAAUGUACAUCCUUAGUGUAUGUUUGUGGUUAUUAUUUUAUUGGAGGUAGUCCAAGAACUAACUUUCCAUCAUUGAGCAAAUUGGAGUUGAAGUCUCUUCCAAACUUGAGACAAAUCUACGAUUGUCAUAUAGAAUUCCCAAGUCUAAAAUAUUUGAUGAUAGCAAAAUGUCCAAACCUGGAAAAAUUCACCUCUGGAUUUGCAGAUCCACGUGGAACCCUUACAACUGAUGGAAAUUCUUUCUUUGAAUUGGAUGAGAUUGUGUUUGAGAGUUAUGACAACUUGGUUUAUGUCAUUUAUUCUGAGACACUAGAAGAGUUGAGGAACUUAAAAAAACUUGUUGUGAGUCACUGUAAGAGAUUGAAAAUAGUAUUUAAUAUUCGUCAAGAAAUAUCUUUUUCCACACACCUUUUAGAACAACUAUGUGAAUUAGCUUUGAUUCAUCUUCCACAGUUAACUUGCAUAGUUAACAGAAAAGUUUUCAAGUUCUACCAAAACCUAAAAGUCCUACAAGUGAAGCAAUGUAAGUCUAUUAAUAUGCUACAAGUUCCUCAAAAACUAACAAAUCUGGAAAUUUGUGAUUGUGAGGCAUUGGAUACAAUUAUUAUCACUAAAGAAGAAGAAGAGGACGGAAUAAAAGAGAAACUCAGCUUUCAUGACUUGAAAGAUGUUUCUCUUGAAAAUCUACCAAGUCUUUCUAUCAUCUUUCCUUCCAUAUCAG
rnacentral:sRNA from 1 species